ACGUGCAGUCNNNGGUAUUCNUNGUUGCUGUACCUUAGUGNNAGUGGCGCACGGGGGAGUAACGCGUAUGCAACCUGCCCUUAGCACGGGGAUAGCCCCGAGAAAUCCGGAUUAAUACCCCCUAUAACAUAUGGAUGGCAUCNUUUUUGNGAAAAAGUUCCGGCGGUCCCAGAUGGGGCUGCGUGUCAUUAGCUUUUUGGUGAGGUAACGGCUCACCCCUACGAUGAUGGCUAUCGGUUCUGAGAGGAUUAUCCCCCNCACUGGUACUGANACACGGACCCGACUCCUNCNCCAGGCANCANUGGGGAAUAUUGAACAAUGGGCGCANNCCUGACCCUNCAUGCCGCGUGCAGGAAGACCGACUUAUGGGUUGUAAACUGCUUUUGUUGUGGAAAAAACCCACGUACAUGUUCAAUGUUGACUGUACCUGUGAAAUAACCNUCCCCUAACUCUAUGCCUAANUCCGNGCCAAUA
rnacentral:rRNA from 1 species